rnacentral:snRNA from 1 species
GGAUAUCCGGCAAAUAUCA